UGUGUCUGUGUAUCUAGAUAACAGGAAGCAAUGUCUUACAUCACAAGUAAAGGGGGAAAUGCGAAAACCGUGAAUUUGUGAUUA